GACGAACGCUGGCGGCGUGCUUAACACAUGCAAGUCGAACGUGAUUUUUGUGGAAAUUCUUUCGGGAAUGGAAAUGAAAUGAAAGUGGCGAACGGGUGAGCAACACGUGAGCAACCUACCUUACACAGGGGGAUAGCCGCUGGAAACGACGAUUAAUACCGCAUGAGACCACAGAAUCGCAUGAUAUAGGGGUCAAAGAUUUAUCGGUGUAAGAAGGGCUCGCGUCUGAUUAGCUAGUUGGAAGGGUAAAGGCCUACCAAGGCGACGAUCAGUAGCCGGUCUGAGAGGAUGAACGGCCACAUUGGAACUGAGACACGGUCCAAACUCCUACGGGAGGCAGCAGUGGGGAAUAUUGCACAAUGGGGGGAACCCUGAUGCAGCGACGCCGCGUGAGCGAAGAAGGUUUUCGAAUCGUAAAGCUCUGUCCUAUGAGAAGAUAAUGACGGUAUCAUAGGAGGAAGCCCCGGCUAAAUACGUG
rnacentral:rRNA from 1 species